rnacentral:rRNA from 1 species
UGGGGAAUAUUGGACAAUGGGGGCAACCCUGAUCCAGCGAUGCCGCGUGAGUGAAGAAGGCCUUCGGGUCGUAAAGCUCUUUAGGUUGGGAAGAAGUAUAUUUGUUGAAUAGACGAGUAUAUUGACGGUACCGACAGAAUAAGCACCGGCAAACUCUGUGCCAGCAGCCGCGGUAAUACAGAGGGUGCGAGCGUUAAUCGGAGUUACUGGGCGUAAAGGGCGCGUAGGCGGUAAGGAUAGUGUGAUGUG